UUUCAAACCUGAGCCUUGUGAACCAUGGAUUUAUUUCAAGCAUGUAUGGAGGGACCUUCCCUUUUUACCUUCUCUUUAUAGUUUCAGAUGUACACAAUCAAUUACACCCCAGAAGUUUAAAUUAUUACAUCAGAAAACAAAUGCCUUCCAGGACAUUUUGAUUCCAUUGGUUCUUUCUCUGUCCUUACCUGCUUAAGGUAGUCCCAGAAUAGAAUGCCAAAUUGAGACAGACUGAAACUCCACACUAUAAGUAUUUGCACAAUAUGUAGAAAGGAAAGAGUGUAUUGGAAAGAGAAAGGGGUUUGGAAAGGAAUGACCUGGGAGUUCAACCCAUAGCUUCAUCACAAUAACUGUGUGAUCUUGAGUAGGUUACUCAAACACUUUUGGGUACUUUACCUUUAUCUCCAACUAUUAUUGGUGUAAUCAGGCCUUAUAUUUACUGACUAUGAUUAAAAUUCAUGAAUUAAGCAUUGCUUUUCCAUUUCCUAUAACAGAUCUGAUGUUUCUCAGGUAAGCCUCCUCAUAUUCUUGGGUAGUAUGAUAGCCUAAGCUUGUUAAUUAAACAUACCUGAAUCUCCUAAUAUUUAAAGAGUCUCAUUUAAAACAGUCGCUUUCACUUUUUAUAAAAGUUCUGUCUUUUAGAGUUCUGUCUCCCUUUUUUUCCUCUACAAUGACAUUGAGGUCUUCGACAAGAUUCUAUAAAUAAUACCCUUCCUCACCCCUUAGUGUCUGAACCAGUUGAGAAAUAAAGCAAAGUAGUAAAUGAUGGCCAAAAUAGCACAUUUCUUUGAAUUCAAAGAAAUGCAUCAUUAUAUUGACAUAUUAUUUUUAUCUAUUUUAGGAAAAUAAAAACAUCUCUAAUAUUUGACAACGUACUUUUUUAUUAUUUGUAUUUUCUAUUGUACACAUAGUAAAAGAAACUUAACCUUAAUUAAUCAUAUAUUUUUAUCAUGCUUCAGUCUUUUGCAAACACAAAAAGGAAAAUAGGAACCAACCAAACUGGUAAAGGUUUUCCAAAAGUUUCUUUGUAUUCUGAGAUUGAUUUUUUUCACUCAGAUGUGUCAGUCUGUGGGCUUUUCCACACAACAUUGACCUAUGUCCUAUCAGAGGUCUUGAUGAUCUUGCAUUCUUAAAAGAGUCCACUAAGAAAAUCUAGAAGCCAAAGGUACAGGAUUCUUAAGUUGGCUUUUCAGUAGUGUAACUAGCCUAAUUUGGACUCCUGCUUCGAGAAUGUUCCUAAAUGUAUCUGAUCAAAUUCCUUACUAUUUGAUUUCUGUGGCUUAAAGACAGUCUUCAGGGUUCUCUUCAAUGUUUCUGAUACGCAUUCAGCAAGUUUUGAUAUAAGCUCGUGUAUAGAUGGCGACCUCUAUUACAAUGGCCACUUGGUCAGCACUGGCCAUCAGAUGCUAUUGAUUAUAAAAUGCACUCCGAUUUCACAAGUGUAAAAAUGCAGAAAAAAAAUGUGCAUCUUAGCAUCUGAAAUACCUUGUCGUCUUUAUUAAUGAUAACGUGGAUGUUUUAAGAAUGUGACUACUAUCUGAGCAAGUGACUUUUGUAAUCUGAACAGAGAUGGACUAACUAGUUACACAAACAGUGCAGUCUGGCCAUGCAUGCUCCCAACAAGUUGCUCACUGCCAAUAAAAAGAGGGAAGUGCUGGCUACACAAGCCUGUUUCUUGUUUCAAACUACUAAGUCAGUUAGGCCACAGUAAGUGUAACUGAGUGCGUGCAUAGAGUCAGGAAUAUUAGAAUUCCAUCCAGUGUGGAAGAAUAGCCAUCUAAGAGGAAUAGAAAAGAAUCAUUGCCCCACAAUAAUGGUGUGUGGAUAUGUGACAUAUUUAAUAUUACUUUUGGUGAGGCAGGGAAAACAAGAGAUCCUUGGCUUCAUCUUGGUAUUUUCUUCAUUCUCCUUGGUCUGCGCUACAGACUGGCUUAUCUGGUCUGCUGCUUCAACACGAUGACCUGCCUGCUGGAGUGGGAGCCUGUGUAGUCCUCAUGUUCCCACGGGAAUCUUCCUAAGUCUAUUAAUAUUCUGAUACCCCUAUAUCAGGGUGUGUGAGGACUGCCAUUUUUCUGCACACCGCACUCCAUGCUGUGGGAUUCAAUAGAGCUGCCACAGCCUGUGUAAGUAGACGCAUAUCCCAUUGCUGUUGCUGCUUGCUUUGGCCUUCUGACACCUUGAUGAUGCCCUUCACAGAACUUCUUCUAGAAACUUAAAGCCGAGAAGCUUGAUAUUAUAAGCUGCCUAGGGAAGUGGGCUUCUAUGCCUCCGACAUUCUCAGGCAUCCCCACACCCCAUCCCUCUCUGGAUGUUUGGAUUCCUCUCUGCUUUCCUAUGUUCCACACUGAGAGGGAGAAAAUGAGGGCACACUCAUCUUUGAUCUUCCCCUGUCAGUUUUUUCUUACCUAUACUCCCUCACCCAAAGGGAUUAAGUUUCAACCUUUUCUUCAUUUUGUGGUGGAAUAUUCCUCUUCCUUUGUAUUUCCACUUUUCUCCAGGUCUAUAAUGGCCAGGGAACAAGAUUUAAGGGCAAGGGAAUAAUAUGAUUUGUUGUUCAAAUUAGGAUAAUUCCGAGUGUAAAAGUGGACACUAUCUGUAAUCACAUCAUGAAACAGGCAUAAACAGGAAUCACUGGGCAUGGUGGAUAUUGUGGUAUGCCACUGUUGCUUCCCUUUGGGGAGAUGGACUCAACUGAGGAGAACCAACUUACCCAACAUCACAGCCCUUUUUCAGACACCCCUUAUCCCGAUGACCAUCCAGUGUGCGUGCAUGUAUGUGUGCGUGUGUGCUUUUAUGUAUUGAUGGAGAGGAGAUAUAAAAUCUUAGCCUCUUCAACUCUUAGAUCAUUUCUGUAGCGCCAGCUCAGCCUUAGAGCCCCCUAUAGGAUGAGCUGAGGCAUUGCAACUCCCAUUUUCUGUUUAGUCCUGCUCUUUCCUUUCCCUUCUGCAAGUGUGAAUUCCCGGGCCACUCUAAUCAACAUCCUUCACUGGAAUGUCCAUCAUUUAUCUCUGACUCAGCUGUUCAAGGAGAGCUACCUGAAGCACUAGGCAAACUGAGAUGUAUGAUCAGCUGUUUAUGGGGGAGUGAUAGAAAACACAUAAGGAUUUUACAGCCUAUAACUUACACCUCAAAAAGCCUGACUAUACACACAGGUAUACACAAAAACACAUAAGCGUGACAUUUGCAAAAUACUGCCAAAGUAAAUUUUUAAAAACACCUCUAUUACUUUGUGAUGUUGAGUACAACUUAACCUCACCUAAAAAUCGAAUGGUAAAUGAGAAAGUUAAUGUGAAGGGCCUGAGAGCUGGUCUCACACUCAAUAAUUUAAGAAGCAGCCAAUCUUAGCUUUUUUCCAUUCCCUUCCUACAUGCUUUUUCAAAAAUAAGAAUUUUGUUCUUUGCAAAACAAUGCAAGUUAUUCUCCGCAACCCUGUUUCAAAUAUUCUGAAAACCCAUUAUAGCAUAUUUGAUUAUAGUAUAGGAUCCAGAGCAUUAACAUAUUAAAAGAACUUCAUUAAUUAUAUGGUAUCAAGUGAAAGAUUUAUUUCAAGAACCCGAUACAGACAAAACAUUAUAGUGACGAUCCCCCCUAGCGUGAAAGCAGAACUUACAUUGUUUUUAAACAAAUUGCCAUCCCGAUUCAUUUAUUAAUAAUGAAAAAAUAUUUUACAUGCUUUAUUUGCCUGGUGUCUACCACUUACUGAAGAUGCAGAAGUUAAUAUGAUUUUGUUCUUGCCGUCUAAAUAAAAAGACUUUGCUUAAGUGUGAAAAUAGACAUGUAAUUGAACAUCUUUAAUAAUGUCAAAUAUUUUAAUAGAGGGGACUCUAGAUACUGUGGGAGUUAGCCAUGCAAAGAACAAUCAAGGACAUGUUCUGAGAUGGGAUGAGAACAGAUCUUGGUUCUGAUGAAAAUGUAAGAGUCUUCCAAAGCCUCCAAACUAUGGAAAGAUUUUUAAGGCAGAAGAAACAGCUCAUGCGAAGGCAGAGUAUAGAAUUCAGAGUCUGCAGUAAUCCACAAGUAAUUUUGUAGGUCGGGGUAUACUGUUUGUGCUUGGGAGAGGUAAUUUUCCAUUACCCUUUCCAGGAUGGAAGAGGUAGUAAGAAUAAUUAACCUUGACCUAACACCUGCGAUAAGCAGUCAAUGUUUCAAGCAUAUUGCUUCUUUUGUUACUAGAUUUUCACAACAGCUCUAUUAGUUAGGAAUUAUGACCAUCCCCAUUUUACACGUCUUGAAAUGGAAGCAUCAAAGAUGGAGUACUUGUCCAAAGUCACAUUUCGAGCAAAUGACUAAGGCAGAAUUAUAACCCAGGCAGUCUGGCCCCACAUGCCAUGUUCUAAUCCCAUGUUCUAUUCUCCCAUUAUUUUGAGAAUGGUAUGAUGCCAUUGGAAAUCAUGAUUCAUAUUGAGUGCAAAUUGAUGAUAAAACUUAAAUUAUUUAGUCGUAUGAUAUCCUUGGAUAGAGAGGUUCUUAAAAGUUGGUUUGUGAACGGGAAAUGCCGUAGGAAAGAAUGAUAAAGUCAACACAUCUUAAAUACAGGUAUUUUUAGUGUGCAUCAGAAGGACUACAGUAUUGUAUCCUAUAAAGUUUGCAGAUGAUCAGUUUCAUAAAUAUAGCUUUGGGAGGAUGAAUGUUGAAGACUGAUUUUAUUUAAAAGUGUAACGACCGUAUUAGAUAAUUUCAAAUGAU
rnacentral:lncRNA from 1 species